CUCCUCCCCAGUUUCUAGCAUUUUGUCAGGAAAGAAGGGGGAUCUCUGGUUCAUGGCAGGAAUGGAGAGGGCAGAAGAAACUGCAAUAAUGAUAAUUAUGCUUUUCUCAAUAACACUGAAGGUCAAAUUGAAAAACUGCACCUGGACAAGUAGUCAAGUGCAUUGAAUAUUUGGGUGUUGGAAACAAAAGCUCACCUUCCAAGCAUUUUCCAGACUCUGAUCUGUAUUUUCUUCACCAACUUUCGAUGCAAGCGAGCUGAGAAGCUCUGCUUGUUGCAUUAGAGCAUUUAUCUUUGGAUCAUCCUUUUUUAGAAAUGUUCCUUGAAUCCUACUGCUUUGAACUGCUAAAUGAAGAGCAAGUAAAGAGACUUUCGAGGAAGUUCAAAGAUUUAUGACACAGAAUAACAAAAAAUCAACACAAACUAAAUUUGUAAAGAUGAUAAAUUCUGCAUGUUAUUUUCUGUAAUAAAACCCAUAUUGUGUCCUCAAUUUUUGCAAAGCUGAAAAAUCUAAUGCUCUGAAAGCUGAGCUGUGGGAGUUUACACGGGGCUGGACCUUGCAUGGCAGAAGGGGCAUAAGAAAGUGGAAGUGGAAGUAGAUUCAGAGGCAGUGUUCAAUGCUUUAAACGGAAAAGGCAGCAAUUUGGCGGCUAAUGAAGGAAUUGAAGGAUCAGGAUCAGUCAUACAUAUUUAGAAGGAAAUUCAUGUGCGGAUUGGCUAGCUAAUGAAGGCCUUUUUUUUUUGGCAUCAGCAGGAUGAAGCAGGGGUAUUUCUACCCUGUUUGUGUAGGGUGCAAGUCAUUUUCUGUUGUUUAAGACUCCUCCCACGAUUUUAUUUUCUUAAAAGGAAACACAAACCACAUCCUAAUUGUAAAGUCUUUGUUUGAGGUGUUUUACCGUCAAUGGGGACCUCCUUGACACUGCUGACAUGAUGCUGAGCAGCCAUGUUAACAUUGUGAAAGUUUUGGGCCAACACAGCAAAUGGAGGUCUAGGUUGCUGAUUUCCACGUUGUGGGUGUGAUCUGUCUCCAAAGUUGCAACUCCCUGCAAGACUAGGGAUGUGGGACUUCCUGCAUUUGAACAAACAUGAGGUUAACUAUGCUAAUUACUUUCCCACUCACUAUUGUCUGCUGAUACCAAAACUCCACUGUACCUUAUCUUCUUAAUUGGGGGAUCAUUUUCUGGUGCUCCAUCCGUGUUGAACCCAUCAUGUAAUAUGAUUCUUUUGUUAUUUAAGUUGAUGUGCGAGUUUUUGUUCUCUUUC